UACGGAGGGUGCAAUCGUUGCUCGGAAUCAUUGGGCGUAAAGCGCGUGUAGGCGGCUCGCUAAGUCGAGUGUGAAAGCCCUGGGCUCAACCCAGGAAGUGCGCUCGAAACUGGCGGGCUAGAGUACGGGAGAGGGUAGCGGAAUUCCCGGUGUAGAGGUGAAAUUCGUAGAUAUCGGGAGGAACACCAGUGGCGAAGGCGGCUACCUGGACCGAUACUGACGCUGAGACGCGAAAGCGUGGGUAGCAAACAGG
rnacentral:rRNA from 1 species